rnacentral:rRNA from 1 species
UACGGAGGGUGCGAGCGUUAUCCGGAAUCACUGGGUUUAAAGGGUGCGUAGGCGGUCUGAUAAGUCAGUUGUGAAAUUCCUCGGCUUAACCGAGUGGACUGCGAUUGAUACUGUCAGACUUGAAUCAGGUUGAGGUAGGCGGAAUGUGACAUGUAGCGGUGAAAUGCUUAGAUAUGUCAUAGAACACCGAUUGCGAAGGCAGCUUGCUGGGCUUAGAUUGACGCUGAGGCACGAAAGCGUGGGGGAGCAAACAGG